CCUUAGCUCAGUUGGGAGAGCGUCAGACUGAAGAUCUGAAGGUCUCGUGUUCAAUACACGAAGGGCGCA
rnacentral:tRNA from 1 species